rnacentral:tRNA from 6 species
GCGAGGGUGGCGGAAUUGGUAGACGCGCUAGCUUCAGGUGUUAGUGUCCGUAUGGACGUGGGGGUUCAAGUCCCCCCCUUCGCACCA